UAGGGUGAUCUGUCUGUGACAUGUAUCACCAGAUUGAUUGCCAGGAUUGAUUUGGCUGAUCUUAGGUAGGGAGAUAUCCUCCUUUUCUCCCUCCUACUCUUUAAUGUAAGCCUUUCAAAACUGAUUUCUUAGCCAAAGUAUACAGUCUUUCGUAAAGAAAAUGACCAUUCUUUGGUCAAAGGUAUACUAGCUUUGUUUCCCUACCAGGACCUCCAAGUCUGCUCCAGAAAUACCAAUUACAUACUUUUAGUGACAGUAGAAUAUUUGCAUUGUAGUGGGUAAGUAUGGAUAAAGAUGCUUAAACCAUUAGAAGCAAUUAAAUGUCAGGCUAAAAUAAUCCUAU
rnacentral:snRNA from 1 species